rnacentral:lncRNA from 10 species
CUCCUGCCAGUGUGCAAGCUGGUCGGAGGUUCUGCCGGGGAGCCGUUUUUACUUGCUGUCUCAUUAUUUGCAUAGUUUCAUCAAGAAUCUGUCCUUUUUUCCUGGGAUUUAAUUGGACAUCCAAGGCCAUACCUGUGUUUAUAAGUCUCGCUCUGUCGUCCAAGCUGGAGUGCAGUGGCAGGAUCUCGGCUCACUUCAACCGCCAUCUCCUGAGUUCAAGCAAUUCUCCUGCCUCAGCUUCAUGAGUAACUGGGAUUACAGGCAUCCACCACCAGAGACGGAUAAUUUUUUUUUGUAUACUUUUAUUUAAUUCGGCUUAGGUUAUUUGUUUAUUAGUAGUAGCUUUGCAUCUAUGGGAUUGUUGUAUAAAAUAAAUGGCUUAAAUAUGUAGGAUAUUUAAAAGUCAUUCUUUCUGCAUUUGAGAUUUUGAGGCUUUAAAGAGGGCAUUAUAUGGGUAGAGACACAACCAAAAAAGAGAAUUUUAGGCCAAU